ACAUGCAAGUCACGGUAACAGGAAGCAGCUUGCUGCUUCGCUGACGAGUGGCGGACGGGUGAGUAAUGUCUGGGAAACUGCCUGAUGGAGGGGGAUAACUACUGGAAACGGUAGCUAAUACCGCAUAACGUCGCAAGACCAAAGAGGGGGACCUUCGGGCCUCUUGCCAUCGGAUGUGCCCAGAUGGGAUUAGCUAGUAGGUGGGGUAACGGCUCACCUAGGCGACGAUCCCUAGCUGGUCUGAGAGGAUGACCAGCCACACUGGAACUGAGACACGGUCCAGACUCCUACGGGAGGCAGCAGUGGGGAAUAUUGCACAAUGGGCGCAAGCCUGAUGCAGCCAUGCCGCGUGUAUGAAGAAGGCCUUCGGGUUGUAAAGUACUUUCAGCGGGGAGGAAGGCGAUAAGGUUAAUAACCUUGUCGAUUGACGUUACCCGCAGAAGAAGCACCGGCUAACUCCGUGCCAGCAGCCGCGGUAAUACGGAGGGUGCAAGCGUUAAUCGGAAUUACUGGGCGUAAAGCGCACGCAGGCGGUCUGUCAAGUCGGAUGUGAAAUCCCCGGGCUCAACCUGGGAACUGCAUUCGAAACUGGCAGGCUAGAGUCUUGUAGAGGGGGGUAGAAUUCCAGGUGUAGCGGGUGAAAUGCGUAGAGAUCUGGAGGAAUACCGGGUGGGCGAAGGGCGGCCCCCCUGGACAAAGACUGACGCUCAGGUGCGAAAAGCGUGGGGGGAGCAAACAGGGAUUAGAUACCC
rnacentral:rRNA from 1 species